CCAGACUCCUACGGGAGGCAGCAGUGGGGAAUAUUGGGCAAUGGGCGCAAGCCUGACCCAGCAACGCCGCGUGAAGGAAGAAGGCUUUUGGGUUGUAAACUUCUUUUGACAGGGAAGAGUAGAAGACGGUACCUGUCGAAAAAGCAUCGGCUAACUCCGUGCCAGCAGCCGCGGUAAUACGGAGGAUGCGAGCGUUAUCCGGAUUUAUUGGGUUUAAAGGGUGCGUAGGCGGUCCGGAAAGUCAGCGGUAAAAGCCGGGGGCUCAACCCCGGGGAGCCGUUGAAACUGUCGGACUAGAGACGGCGAGAAGUACGCGGAAUGCGCGGUGUAGCGGUGAAAUGCAUAGAUAUCGCGCAGAACUCCGAUUGCGAAGGCAGCGUACCGGCGCCGGACUGACGCUGAGGCACGAAAGCGUGGGUAUCGAACAGGAUUAGAUACCCUAGUAAGG
rnacentral:rRNA from 1 species